rnacentral:rRNA from 2 species
AGAAUGACUCUCGGCAACGGAUAUCUAGGCUCUUGCAUCGAUGAAGAACGUAGCGAAAUGCGAUACUUGGUGUGAAUUGCAGAAUCCCGUGAACCAUCGAGUCUUUGAACGCAAGUUGCGCCUGAAGCCAUUAGGUUGAGGGCACGUCUGCCUGGGUGUCACAGA